rnacentral:lncRNA from 1 species
CUUUUAUUCAUCUUUUAGAUCUUAACUAUAUAUUUAUUAAAUUAUCAAUUCAACACUCACUAAAUUAAUUUUAUUUAAUUAUUUAAUAAGUAGUGAGAAAAGAAUCAAGGGUACUAUAAAAGCUAAAGUAUCCCAAGUAAGGCUUCAUGGAAAAGCCAAUUUCAUUUGGAGCACCAGGAAUGCUAGCUAAGAUACAUAAAAGACUGUAGAGAAAGGCGACAUUCUAAGAGAACAGGAAUGACAAAGACAGAAUAUUAUAAUAAGUGUUUAUGAGACUAAGAACAGAUCAGCAGGGGAAGAAGACAGAAAGAGAGCACCGAAUUUGAAUAGUAUUAGGGUUAUAAUCAACGCAAGCUCUCUAAAGAACUACAUCAUUGGACAAAAGACCUUAGGAAAGAAGAGUUCAAGAGGCAUCACCAAGGAUUGCAAUUCAGCCUUCCAAAGAUCCACCUGGGCUCCCAGACAUUGCUCCUGAAAAUGCAUUUUGCUUUGGAAAUAGAACUCAAGAGUUAAAGGGCCCUAGACCACUGCAGCACAUUUCAUCCACUUGGUAAGUGACUCUCCUGUUUCCUAUUGCUUGAAUGGACAGCCAGAUUCAUGUAGACACAUUAUGCCCUUCCCCAUGGCAGAGGUAUACUACUAAAGAGAGAGAGAGGAGAGAGAAAGAGAGAGACACAUAAAAAAUGAAAAGUACUUAAGCAAGCAGGACUACUAUUGCACUCUCUAAAAGAAAGAUGGUUGCAGUGAACAUGAUGUCUGGAACUUCAGUUUGCCCAAAUUAAAGUGGAACAUAAAAAUAAGAAGGAAAGAAAUCUAAUUUCCAUUUAAAGUUGGUAUCAGUGGUAGUUGUACAAUAUUCUUUUGUCAUACCUUCAGGUGAUGGACCUGCAAUGCUGCAGAGCUGUGGUAAUUCAAAGGUAGCCAGGAGCAAGAGAAAUAUAAAACUCACACCUGCCAAAAUAGAUCUGAGCAGUGAGUUGGCCAGAGAAAUGUGGCAGGAGAAAUAGCAGGAUGCAGACUGAA